AGAUCUCAGAAGAGAUCUGCUCUGAUGGCCUGUGAUGGCGGAGAUCUUUUGUAUUCUCAUUGAUAUUGAUCUGCACGAUCCUUUUCCAACAUUGCCACUUCUAAAGAAUCUCGACAAGAUCCACAAGUCCAUCCAUCACCAACAUGAAGACAACCAUCGUCGUUUGCACGUACCUCUUGAUGGUAGCCUCCU
rnacentral:ribozyme from 1 species